UGGUCCUGCUCAGACCAGCCCUCACCACCCCUCCGGAGCAGUGUGAUUCUCAUUAAACGAGAAUUAGGCAUAGAAGAAAGUGAAAGGAGAGCUCAAGAAGGGGAACUUCUUAUCAGGUGUGUCACCAAUACUGGCUGUAAACGGGGCUUUUACUGCUGCUGCCACUCACAGCUUGGGGAACAUGUUGCUUCUCAUAGAUUGGUGAGUCAGAAAAGAGAGUUAAAUUUAUGCUUUAAAGAGAAGCAGGCAGGCCAAGAGGGUGCCCCUGCAGACUAAAAGGCACCUGCUUGUGCUAAGAGUUGCACAAAGCCUGAUUAAAUAUUCAGAAAGGUCUUCAUUUAAUGACUUGAGAGCUCUGUAAUUUGUAAUUUAUUUCUUUUGGGUUUUUGCUUCAUAACUUUUUGGCAAAUGUAAAUUAAUUCUCUUUUUUGCCUGGUGUUAUCUCCCAUGUAUCUGCAUUUUAAAGGGAAACUCAGGGCUACAUUUAUCUUCCUUCUGUGGUUCAUGAUUAACUGGUCAUACUGUGUGAAUUUUAUCACUAAAAAACAAAAAAGCCAAACAAAACCCCAAACAAAUAAAAGAACAACCUAGAAAAAAUUACACACCUGCAUUUUGCAAUUUUUAUAAAAAUAUUACAGUACUGAACUCACCAGGUAUUUUCCAAAGUCUAGUAAAAUCAGUCCUUAUAGCACCGGUGAAUCACAUUGCAAAAAUGAGGAACAUAAAUAGCCUUCAGUAUCAAUUACAGGAAUUAACAGCAGAGAUUUAUCAAAUUAGGUGUGGUCUGGAUUUAGUUGUCUUUUUUUCUCCUGUAUCCUUUUUCCCUUUACUGUAGCUCGCUCUUUCAUUUCCUUUACUGUGCUUACUUGCUGGAUGAAAAUGUUGAAAACAUGCCACCUUCUGUUCUUUUCAGCUAUUGCACAGCCCAAAGAAAAUUUAUAACCCCUGGAAACUUGUGUAAGAUAUGUGCACAUCUGUGCAUAGAUACAGGCAGACACAUGCACACUCGUGUAAACCUACAUAUGCACAUAGCUCUGAAAUCUGUCUAUCUAUCUAAAUCUCUUUACUCACAGGCUUUUCUUUAGUUACAAGGUUUGCUCUCCAGCUGUUAGAAUAAAUGUACUCACUAAAAGGUUUUCAAGGAAACCAGAAAUUAGGCCACUGUUGACCACUGUCACUGGAAAGUGAAGAGAGAUGAGGAAGGUGUUCACAUUUCCCUUCAGAGCUGCUCUGGGAAAAUCUCCCUCCUCUCAUUUCACUGAUGCAGCAAUGCUGAAGAGAUUGUGCCAGGGCACCCUGGGUAUCCUCACUUGCACUCACUACAACGAAAGACAGUGCUGUGGGGGGAUGGAAACAGCUCCAGCCCCACAGUUUUGCUUUUGUUCUUCUUGACCUUCAACGCAAAUUUUUGUAUGGCUGAUUAUUCCUUUUCCCAAAAAACCUCAAUGAAAAACACCACAAGGGAAUUUCUUAUGCCACAGCUCGUCUACAAGUUUAUCCCAUUAUCUUAGUCUUCUGCUAUUUCAAAUACAGCUCAGCUGUAUGGGUAUGAGCAUAUUCCUCUGCACAGAUUUUUCCACCCACGCUUCUUCUAUUGCCAUUUAAGGAAUCUCCACAACUAAAGAUAAACUUGGACUGGCAAGGCCAGGCUGACCCUCCAAAUUCCAAGCGUCAUAGGACUGGGAUCCACAGCUCAUGUACGAGCAUCCUGUGUUGUGGAGAAGAACCACCUGAUGAUGUGGUAAUGCGGAGCUGACUCCCCGUUACUCCACGUACCAGUCUGGUAGGUGGAAGCCUGGGGUCUCAGAAAGCAGGGCUGGCCAUUGCACAGUCCUUCAGGGGAGCUGCUGGCGGUGCAGAGCACAGCUGCCCACUGGAUGGCACCAAGACUCUGUUCGAGUGUGUGCACUCCUCUCCAGCCUCCCUGAGCCAUCCCAUCCAUCACUGGGAUAAGGGAUGCUUUGCAAACAGGCAAAGCAAGGCUCUGGGAGCGAGAUGAUAGGGGGAAAUUACAGAUGUGAAAGUUGUGCAUGAUGCUGUCACGGCUAACAUCUUUAAAGGAGCAAAGAAUCUUUUAUAGUCUGUAACCGAGAUGGGAAUAUUCUGCAGAGUACUGUAAGUUCCUAUCCAUACAAGCUGCUGUUUCCAAACAAUCGCAUGGAGAAUAAUUACAGGUGUGGAAUACACUUCUCUAACUGUAGGAUAGAGGGAAAAGCAUUACAUUUUUUUAACUAUGUUUUUAAAAUUCUUACUUCUUGCACUUCAGGCUACAGCAACAGCAAUAUAUAAAUGCUGCAGGCUGUGCGGAUUGUGGCUGCAAGAUUCCAUGUCCUAAAGUAUAUUGACAUCCCACAUGUGAGCCAGGUCAGAGGGAUUAAUGCUGCCGCUGUGAGUCAAUGCUUUUUGAUCCCUCAGUGGAGAAUGCAUGCAGCAAACUUACGGCAGAUAUUUAUAGAAUAAUGUACAAGUUAAUACUCUUCUCCACAGCCACUGGAGCUGGGCUUGCUGCCUAAAUGUAUAUCUGCAGUGUAUUUACUGAAGCCAAGAAGCUUUACAGAAGUCAUCAAAGAAAAGGGAGCUGUUUGGAAAUUUAGGGAUCCAUUACAUUAUGUUGCAAUUCCUAAUGUUCUCUGAUGACUGUGUCUUUAUUUUUUUAAUCACUGCUCAGGCAGAAGUGUAAAACCCCAUGAAACAGAAGCCAGCCCCAGAUAUAAAGAAACUGCUGCUGGUGAGGCCAAGCUGAUUUUUGCCUUCUUCUUUUGGUGUACUCUCUCUUAUUUUUUACAUAUAGAGUAAUUUCACAAUUAUAAGCCGCACCAUUUUGGCUAAAAUUUUGGUCCGAACCCAAAGUGCGGC